rfam:Lepisosteus oculatus linkage group LG11, whole genome shotgun sequence.
UGCAGGGGGCCGCAGGCUGCAACACGGGAUAUGGGAGCUGCUCAUUUUACCCUCGUGUCUUGUGUUGCAGCCAGUGGAACUGC